GUGAGUCAUCGAAUCUUUGAACGCAAAUUGCACUCUCCGGUUUUCCGGGAGAGUAUGCCUGUUUGAGGGUCAGCCUAAAUAAAUUCGGCUUCGUUGCUGUGUUUCGCGGUAACGUUUUAGUCGGAAUUUGGGUCAUCUUAAACCGAAAUUCGGUCUUAAGCGACUUAAAAUUUUUUUACGAUCCCACGAACGUUUCUAAGAUCUUCUUACACGUUCAAGGUGUCGAAUACCCUAUUAGUCGUGACCGUCGUAUCGGAUCGCGUCCAUAAUAUUUAUUCUUUAACUGACCUCAGACAGGUA
rnacentral:misc_RNA from 1 species